CGGGUGAGUAACACGUGGGUGAUCUGCCUGCACUCUGGGAUAAGCCUGGGAAACUGGGUCUAAUACCGGAUAGGACCAUGCUUUAGUGUGUGUGGUGGAAAGUUUUUUCGGUGUAGGAUGAGCCCGCGGCCUAUCAGCUUGUUGGUGGGGUAAUGGCCUACCAAGGCGGCGACGGGUAGCCGGACUGAGAGGUUGGUCGGCCACAUUGGGACUGAGAUACGGCCCAG
rnacentral:rRNA from 1 species